AUGGUUUUUCGUACUGGAACUCAAAGGUAAAGACACUCAAGGACAGACAUUUUUGGCAGAGGUAAGAUCUUCUUUGGUCACCAUACUUGAGUUAGCCCUGGGGAAGUGGACAUUUCCAUGCAGAAUCCUAAAGCUUCUUCCAUCCCAUAGUGUCUGUCCCACACCUUCUGGUAUCUCUUGAUAUGCAGGAGAGAUGAAAAUGGCAAGUUCCCUGGCCUUCCUUCUGCUCAACUUUCAUGUCUCCGUCUUCUUGGUCCAGCUGCUCACUCCUUGCUCAGCUCAGUUUUCUGUGCUUGGACCCUCUGGGCCCAUCCUGACCAUGGUGGGUGAAGACGCUGAUCUGCCCUGUCACCUGUUCCCGACCAUGAGUGCAGAGACCAUGGAGCUGAGGUGGGUGAGUUCCAGCCUAAGGCAGGUGGUGAACGUGUAUGCAGAUGGAAAGGAAGUGGAAGACAGGCAGAGUGCACCAUAUCGAGGGAGAACUUCAAUUCUACGGGAUGGCAUCACUGCAGGGAAGGCUGCUCUCCGAAUACACAACGUCACAGCCUCUGACAGUGGAAAGUACUUGUGUUAUUUCCAAGAUGGUGACUUCUAUGAAAAAGCCCUGGUGGAGCUGAAGGUUGCAG
rnacentral:sRNA from 1 species